AACACAAUCAAACUACAAAGAAUUGAACAUUUUAUAUGAAAAAUAUAAAGAUCAAGUGCCACUGUUUUGUCAAAGUUGGGUACUCAUGAUCAUGUCAUUGGCAAGAUGGAACCAAAUUAUUGGUGCUUGGAUGGAUGAGUUGGAUGAUGGUUUUAUAAAGAUGUACUUUGAUGGUAUUUUUUGUACGAAUGAUUGAGAUAAUUUUUAUGCACUAUUUCCCCAUUUCCGUAUAAUGUUUUUAUGGAUGUGUUUGAUUACAAUAUAUUGAAUAUGUAAAAAUUGUGAUCUUGUGUCGUGCUA